AAGCAAUUUGCUCAUAGCCAUAGCUUUCUUGUGAAAGUAGGAUAUUAACCCAGGUGUCUUGGUGCUGGAGAACAGAACUGGCCAGAGUCCAUCCUGUCUCCCACCGGCAUCCCAUUACGAAAUGAACACAGAAAAGGCAGGUCUGCAAUGCCAACAUCUAGUAUCUAUCCCAAAGACCAGGGAGAAAGGAAGGAAAGAUUCUGGUUCUGUCCUCUUCCCCAAGGCAAGGCUGGCUGCCCUACCAACAGAGGCAAAGAGAAGAGUGUGCAAGGCUGGCUGCCCUCCCAACAGAGGCAAAGAGGAGUGUGUGUUGAAAUAUCCAUUGAAUCCCUGAGACAACUGGAUCCUGGCCCAUUGAAUCAUAAACUCAAAUCUCACAUCAUAACCCCAAAUGACCUGUUACUCACCAUGUGGCCCAGCUGUCUUCAAACUCACCAGCCUCCUGCCUUAGCCUUCUAAAUGCUUGGAUUACAGGCAUGACCCACCAUAACUGGCUUUGUUUUAGUUUCAGAGAAGAUGAAACUGAUGUGCGUCAAAAAGUAAACUACCCACAUUUUAACUGGGCACAUUCCUGUCAAUCUGAUGAGAAUCUAUUUCAUACCCUGCUUUAGCUGGUAGUCUGUCAAGGAAAUGAGCUGAACAUGUCUGUGUACAGCUUUUGUGCCAUCCCUGGAUGAGCGAGCUGUCUGCCUCUAUGUUCUCCACAAAAUGGAAUAUAGCUGUACACCCAAGCCAAGUUAUGGAGGCUGGGAAGACCUAGAAUGUGGCAUCACUAUUUGCUGAAAUUUUUAAUAUAAUGCCUCUUAGCCUGGUUUGGAGAAAACGUCACAGAGAGGCACCAUUUGUUGUGGUUUUACAUGAAAAUUUUCUGACCCUGAACCUGGUUUGAUGGAAAUCAUUUGCUGAGGAAACCAUGCCGAUUACCGACCGAGCUCUCAAUGGAAAAAUGCAGUCGGCGUGAACCACGCACGAACACAGCAGAGAAAGAAGAAAACACACACCACGAGGAACCCUAAUAGGACAAUACAUUAUAAGUCACAGUGCUACGGAGAAACCCAGUAGCCACAUGGAAGCAGAGACCAUGCAUAUGCAUCUACUCCGCAGCUCUGUGAAUGUCAGCAGCUCCCACGGACUGGAGAUCCCGUGAGAUCCCGUGAGAUCUCACCCAUAGCCUCAUGGUACAUCCACUUGGUGUGCUGGGAGAGUCAGGAUGAGGACCUGAGAAGAACAGCAGCUUGAACCUGACUUCAUUUAACAGCCCACUGCCCUCUUGCCAAGAACCCAUCACAGACCUUCCCAGAAGAGAGGGAUGAGCCUCACCUAUGAAUAAGUCCUCAGAAACUCAAAUUUGAUUCUAAUGGAUUGUUUUCUCAGAAAGACUGAGCAUGUCCCCCCACAUCUCUGUCAUUUCCCACAGUAGUAACCUCUGCAGAUGCCACAUAGAAAACAAAACAAAACAAAAAAACAUGAGGUUGGUGGGCAGAUAGGCAGGGUAUAAACAAACAGCCUUGUAACCCAGAAGCUGUGUGAUAUACAGUAAACUUCACAACACUGAAAAGAUGUCCUAUCUGUUAAAAUGGGGUAAUAACAACUACCCGAAUGUUUAGGAAUAGAACUUCAAUAAAUGAUACAUUUUAUAGUACAGCAGACCAUCCUGUAAAGGUUUCAUCCUUCACUGUGGUGAUAAAUAUCCCAAACCACAUUGAAAAGCAUUGCAUCUACAUUUAUCUACACUGUAACUGUACUGUAAAUCAUGGGGGAGGGGAGAAUCAUAAAAACACCACCUGUCACCGUGUCAUUAAAGCAAGUUGGAAGUGAUACUUACAGAAACACAGCAAGAGCACCCCCAGUCACACAGUUCAAUCUCUUAGCAAGCGUUUUCUUUCUAGCCCAGUGGUUCUCAGUUUGGAAUUUUUGGCACUGCCUAGAGAUAGUUUUGUUGUUAAAACUGAGAAAAGAGCCGGGCGUGGUGGCACACGCCUUUAAUCCCAGCACUCAGGAGGCAGAGGCAGG
rnacentral:lncRNA from 1 species